rnacentral:rRNA from 1 species
UACGUAGGGACCAAGCGUUGUUCGGAUUUACUGGGCGUAAAGGGCGCGUAGGCGGCAAUUCAAGUCAGUUGUGAAAUCUCCGAGCUUAACUCGGAACGGUCAACUGAUACUGUUUUGCUAGAGUACAGAAGGGGCAAUCGGAAUUCUUGGUGUAGCGGUGAAAUGCGUAGAUAUCUGGAGGAACACCGGUGGCGAAGGCGGCAUCCUGGACCGAUACUGACGCUGAGGAGCGAAAGCCAGGGGAGCAAAGCGGG